rnacentral:rRNA from 1 species
UACGUAGGGGGCUAGCGUUGUCCGGAAUUAUUGGGCGUAAAGGGCGCGUAGGCGGCCUGGCAAGUGGAAGGUGAAAUCCCUCGGCUUAACCGAGGAACUGCCCUCCAAACUGCUUGGCUUGAGUCCGGGAGAGGUGAGUGGAAUUCCCAGUGUAGCGGUGAAAUGCGUAGAUAUUGGGAGGAACACCAGUGGCGAAGGCGGCUCACUGGACCGGAACUGACGCUGAGGCGCGAAAGCGUGGGGAGCAAACGGG